rnacentral:rRNA from 1 species
ACCAGAUUGUUUUUGAAAUUUUUUUGUUAAAAUCGAACCGAACCAAAUCGGAUGAAUAAUACCGAAUUCGGUUCUAAUUUGACUGGCAGGAUCCCCUUGAGGGUUGCACCGCCUACCGACCUUGAUCUUUUGAGAAGGGUUCGAGUCAGAGCAUGUCUGUCGGGACCCGAAAGAUGGUGAACUAUGCCUGAGCGGGGCGAAGCCAGAGGAAACUUUGGUGGAGGCCCGCAACGAUAUUAACGUGCAAAUCGUUCGUCUGACUUGGGUAUAGGGGCGAAAGACUAAUCGAGCUGUCUAGUAGCUGGUUCCUUCCGAAGUUUCCCUCAGGAUAGCUGGAGCCCGUGAACGAGUUUUAUCAGGUAAAGCCAAUGAUUAUAGGCAUCGGGGGCGCAACGCACAUGACCUAUUCUCAAACUUUAAAUAGGUAGGACGGCUCAGUUGCUUUGUUGAGCCACGCCAUAGAAUCGAGAGUUCCAAGUGGGCCAUUUUUGGUAAGCAGAACUGGCGAUGUUAGAUGAACCGGAAGCCAGGUUAUGGUGCCUAACUGCACACUAACCUAGAACCCACAAAGGAUGUUGUUCGAUUAAGACAGUAGGCAGGUGGUCAUGGAAGUCAAAAUCAGUUAAAGAGUGUGUAACAACUCACCUACCGAAUCAACUAGUCUCAAAAAUAGAUGGCGCUUAAGAGCACGACCUAUACCCGGCCGUCGAGUCAAGUGCCAAGCCCCGAUGAGUAGGAGGGUGCGGCAGUUGCUACAAAACCUCAGGCGCGAGCAUGGGCGGAGCGGCCGUCGAUGCAGAUCUUGGUGGUAGUAGCAAAUAUUCAAAUGAGAACUUUGAAGGUCGAAGAGGGGAAAGGUUCCAAGUGAACGGCACUUGCACAUGGGUUAGUCGAUCAUAAGAGACGGGGGAAGCCCAUCUGAUGGCGCGUCUCGUGUGAACUUCGAAAUAGAAUCGGGUUAAAAUACCCCUACUCUAAGGGUAAAUUCGUAAUUUCAUAUUUCAUUAAAUUGAAUAAUUCAAGUAGGGAAUUUAAUUGGAGUCGGGGUGUUACAAAAUCAAACUAACCAACUUGAUCUAACAACUAACUAAUUUGAGAGAUAUAACAUC